GGAGAGAUGGUUGACUGGACUAAAGCGGCGGAUUGCUAAUCCGUUGCACAAUUUUUUGUACCGAGGGUUGGAAUCCCUCUCUUUUCG
rnacentral:tRNA from 1 species